GGGUUGUGAGGUUAAGCGACUAAGCGUACACGGUGGAUGCCCUGGCAGUCAGAGGCGAUGAAGGACGUGCUAAUCUGCGAUAAGCGCCGGUAAGGUGAUAUGAACCGUUAUAACCGGCGAUUUCCGAAUGGGGAAACCCAGUGUGAUUCGUCACACUAUCAUUAACUGAAUCCAUAGGUUAAUGAGGCGAACCGGGGGAACUGAAACAUCUAAGUACCCCGAGGAAAAGAAAUCAACCGAGAUUCCCCCAGUAGCGGCGAGCGAACGGGGAGGAGCCCAGAGCCUGAAUCAGCAUGUGUGUUAGUGGAAGCGUCUGGAAAGGCGCGCGAUACAGGGUGACAGCCCCGUACACAAAAGCGCAUGUGCUGUGAGCUCGAUGAGUAGGGCGGGACACGUGGUAUCCUGUCUGAAUAUGGGGGGACCAUCCUCCAAGGCUAAAUACUCCUGACUGACCGAUAGUGAACCAGUACCGUGAGGGAAAGGCGAAAAGAACCCCGGCGAGGGGAGUG
rnacentral:rRNA from 1 species